UACGAAGGGUGCAAACGUUGCUCGGAAUUAUUGGGCGUAAAGCGCACGUAGGCGGCAUUGCAAGCCAGAUGUGAAAUCCCCGGGCUUAACCUGGGAAUGGCAUUUGGGACUGCAAGGCUGGAGUACGGCAGAGGAGACUGGAAUUCCUGGUGUAGCAGUGAAAUGCGUAGAGAUCAGGAGGAAUACCGAUGGCGAAGGCAGGUCUCUGGGCUGAUACUGACGCUCAUGCACGAAAGCGUGGGGAGCAAACAGG
rnacentral:rRNA from 1 species